UACGUAGGUGGCAAGCGUUGUCCGGAAUUAUUGGGCGUAAAGCGCGCGCAGGCGGUCCUUUAAGUCUGAUGUGAAAGCCCACGGCUCAACCGUGGAGGGUCAUUGGAAACUGGGGGACUUGAGUACAGAAGAGAAGAGUGGAAUUCCACGUGUAGCGGUGAAAUGCGUAGAGAUGUGGAGGAACACCAGUGGCGAAGGCGACUCUUUGGUCUGUAACUGACGCUGAGGCGCGAAAGCGUGGGGGGCAAACAGG
rnacentral:rRNA from 1 species